UUUAACAAAUAAUACCAUUCUCCAGCAAACAUAUGAACAACUCUAUUAAAAUAGAGGCUACUAUGCUAAAACUAUUAAUAUAAGCAACAACUUUACCCGCGCAGUCAUCACUCAAAUAUAAUAGAUAAUUAACAGACCAAAAAAGGACAAGUACAAUCCAAUUAACAAACCCUUUAAAUACUGUGAGCCCGACUCAGGUGCGCAAUAUGGUGUAAUUAAAAGUUACAAAAGGAACUCGGCAAACACAGAUUCCAACUGUUUACCAAAAACAUAGCCUUUAGCUAAACAAGUAUUGAAGGUAAUGCCUGCCCAGUGAAAUCACUUUCAACGGCCGCGGUACCCUAACCGUGCAAAGGUAGCGUAAUCA
rnacentral:rRNA from 1 species